CAGUCGCCACGGGAAUACGUAGGGUGCAAGCGUUAAUCGGAAUUACUGGGCGUAAAGCGUGCGCAGGCGGCUUUUUAAGUCGGAUGUGAAAUCCCUGAGCUUAACUUAGGAAUUGCAUUCGAUACUGGGAAGCUAGAGUAUGGGAGAGGAUGGUAGAAUUCCAGGUGUAGCGGUGAAAUGCGUAGAGAUCUGGAGGAAUACCGAUGGCGAAGGCAGCCAUCUGGCCUAAUACUGACGCUGAGGUACGAAAGCAUGGGGAGCAAACAGGAUUAGAUACCCCUGUAGUCCCUGUCUCUUAUAC
rnacentral:rRNA from 1 species